UGAGUCUCUCUACAUACAGCAGAGGUGUCUAACUGUGAGUUUCUCUACAUACAGCAGAGGUGUCUAGCUGUGAGUCUCUCCAGACCUGCUGAUGCCCUCGUGGCCAUGAUUGUUCUGAGAUGUCUCGGUUUCUUCAUCUUAUUUCCAUGUGCUGUGAAGAUCAUGAACUUCCAGCAGUCUACGUCUGUCAUGGUUACGGAGAACGCCACGGUUGAAAUCUCGUGUAGCCAUGACGACAACAGCUUGUUGCUCAUGCUGUGGUACCAGCAGCGACCUGUCGCUCGGGAUAUGACCCUCAUUGGGUACAGCUAUGCGUCCUCUGAGCCCAGCUACGAGGGUCAGUUCCAGGAAAGGUUCGAGCUCACCAGAGAGGACACCCUGAGAGGAGCACUCCUCCUUCCCCACGCAGCUCUCGCAGACUCGGCCGUGUAUUUCUGUGCUGCCAGUACACAGUGAUGUGGCUUGACGCCAACGCCUCACCAAAACCCUGGCGAGGGUUCAGGCCCCACGGUCCUCCAGGCACCCAGAGACCUUGUCCUCCGAGCUGGGCUGACCAGGUGACCCUGCAGUGCAGCGUGGGUCCCGGCCUCAGCAUGAGCAGCUACACCAUGCUGUGGUACCGCCAG